rnacentral:rRNA from 1 species
CAGCAGCCACGGUAAUACGAAGGGGGCUAGCGUUGUUCGGAAUUACUGGGCGUAAAGCGCACGUAGGCGGCUUGGUAAGUUAGAGGUGAAAGCCCGGAGCUCAACUCCGGAAUUGCCUUUAAGACUGCCGAGCUAGUAGGUGAGAGAGGUAAGUGGAAUUCCCAGUGUAGAGGUGAAAUUCGUAGAUACCGGGAGGAACGCCGAUGGCGAAGGCAGCCACCUGGUCCACUUCUGACGCUGAGGCGCGAAAGCGUGGGGAGCAAACCGGAUUAGAGACCCCUGUAGUCCCUGUCUCUUAUAC